rnacentral:rRNA from 1 species
UACGUAGGGUGCGAGCGUUGUCCGGAAUUAUUGGGCGUAAAGAGCUCGUAGGCGGUCUGUCGCGUCGGAUGUGAAAAUCCAGGGCUCAACCCUGGACCUGCAUUCGAUACGGGCAGACUAGAGUUCGGUAGGGGAGACUGGAAUUCCUGGUGUAGCGGUGAAAUGCGCAGAUAUCAGGAGGAACACCGGUGGCGAAGGCGGGUCUCUGGGCCGAAGCGAUGACUGAGGAGCGAAAGCGUGGGGAGCAAACAGG